UACGUAGGUCCCGAGCGUUGUCCGGAUUUAUUGGGCGUAAAGCGAGCGCAGGUGGUUUAUUAAGUCUGGCGUAAAAGGCAGUGGCUCAACCAUUGUAUGCAUUGGAAACUGGUAGACUUGAGCGCAGGAGAGGAGAGUGGAAUUCCAUGUGUAGCGGUGAAAUGCGUAGAUAUAUGGAGGAACACCGGUGGCGAAGGCGGCUCUCUGGCCUGUAACUGACACUGAGGCUCGAAAGCGUGGGGAGCAAACAGG
rnacentral:rRNA from 1 species